GCAGUCGAGCGCGGGAAGCGAGUGGAUCCCUUCGGGGUGAAGCUCGUGGAACGAGCGGCGGACGGGUGAGUAACACGUGGGCAACCUGCCUGUAAGAUCGGAAUAACCCCGGGAAACCGGGGCUAAUGCCGGGUAAUACUUUCUUUCGCAUGAAGGAAAGUUGAAAGAUGGCUUCUUGCUAUCACUUACAGAUGGGCCCGCGGCGCAUUAGCUAGUUGGUGAGGUAACGGCUCACCAAGGCGACGAUGCGUAGCCGACCUGAGAGGGUGAUCGGCCACACUGGGACUGAGACACGGCCCAGACUCCUACGGGAGGCAGCAGUAGGGAAUCUUCCGCAAUGGACGAAAGUCUGACGGAGCAACGCCGCGUGAACGAUGAAGGUCUUCGGAUCGUAAAGUUCUGUUGUUAGGGAAGAACAAGUACCGUGCGAAUAGAGCGGUACCUUGACGGUACCUAACGAGGAAGCCCCGGCUAACUACGUGCCAGCAGCCGCGGUAAUACGUAGGGGGCAAGCGUUGUCCGGAAUUAUUGGGCGUAAAGCGCGCGCAGGCGGUUCCUUAAGUCUGAUGUGAAAGCCCACGGCUCAACCGUGGAGGGUCA
rnacentral:rRNA from 1 species